AAAUUACAUCAUGUUCUCCUACACACUUUGCCCAGGCCACCAUUGUUUGCCCUCAUUUCAAUUUCCCAUAUCAAACUGGGUUUUUAUUCUAUCUCACUGUUCCUGUUUCUUAAGGAGGAAUGAUCUAGUCUUUCUUGCUAUGUAUUCUUUAAAGUACAGACUUUUCUUCCCUCACGAGUAGGUUUAAGCUGUCCUUGACCACCUUGCCCUCACAUGUUAGAGUUUCUGGGAGAGAAGCUCUCUUGUGUCACGUGGGUUUCCUCUCACGUAGGUUUCCAUUACUCAGGAGCGGCAUUUCCUGCAAACAGCUGAUUGUUGAUUGAAUUAGUCCACCUGCUGCUUUGGGGCUUUUGUAUACAAGUAUGCUUUUUUUUUCUACAAGUAUGUAUUAAUUGUGUGACGUAAGAGGUUUCAUUAUGGCAUUUUUAUAUGAAUACAGUGUGAAUUCAUCAUUCUCAUUCUACUAACCUCUUCUGCCCUUCCCCAUCUCCCUAACACCCUGCCUCUCCAGACAGCACCAUUUUUACUUUCAUGAUUUUUAAAACAUGAGUUUCAAUGCUUGUGUGUGUCAGAAAAAAUGGGGAUCGGUGGUGGAGGGGACGUUGUGGAUACCAGAGGACAACACUGAGCAUUAGUCUCAAUAAGCUGCCCAUCUCUUUAAGACGCGUUGUUUCACUGGGCGGGAAUUCAUGGAUCAGGCUAACAUGACAGGCCGGCAGGGCUAGGCAUCCUCCUGUCUGUCUCCCUAGCACUGGGCUUGUGGGCUUAUGCCAUCACCUGUUACAAUUUUACAUGGGUUUUCGAGCUGUGAGACAACACUCUGUACCCUACUUAUGUGUCUUUUUUAAAAUCUAUUCAUAAUUUCAAUGUAAGAACAUUGUGCUUCAGCAGUACUGAAAGACAUGAAUCCACACCCCCGAGGCUUGGUGCAGAUUUUCUUCCAAUCUUGCCUGUUACAUAUUUUGUCUUCCUUCUUUCUCACCAUGUAUUCUAAAAUAUACUACCCUUGAGGGUGCAUUGAGGACCUUGCUUUCUGCUUGGCCCAGGACUACAAAGGUCCUAGAUCCAGAAUGGUCCAUGCUAAAGAAAUUUCCAACUGAAAGUGGGAUGAGCUGAUCACCCUAACCCAUAUAUCACACUGUCAAAAAUAGCUCUUUGUUACUUUUUAGUAUUUGCUAAUACACACAUGAAUAUAUACCAUCUGUAUAUUUGUCUUCUCUGUUACUGUGUACUUUUCAAAGUCAGUAAUAGCGUGCUCCUUUUAAAUCCCUGAUAGACACAGGCCAGUCACAUAGUGCGGAAUCAAUGAUUAUUGAUUGACUGGAUCUGCGGGUGACAGAGUAGUCAGGCAGGAGAGCUCUAUUCUAACUGCUCAUGUCUUUCUACUCAGAUAGCAGUGAGGUUUUCAGAGGACAACAGGGACUGUUGAGAGAGUAUUGGAACUUUGAGAAAAGAGAAGGAAAUUUGCAAAGAAAAUUUGAAUGAGUGAAUUCAUUAGAGAAUACAUUGCUUGUAUCAGUCAUCCAGUAGUCAAUGAGAGGAUUGUUGUCAGUUCUUAACCUUGGUACAGUUUAGUUAAAAUUUUGUGCCCAUGACCCUUUUCUCUCAUAAUGUAUGUUUUAUUCCUGAUAGGCCUUUACCUACUUAUCUACCCAUUUAUUUUGUGUCAUUCCUUCUAAAACACACAGUGAUUUUAUGUGUGCAUUGUUGAUCAUGUCCAGUAGCAUAACUUAAAUUGUGGCUGUAUUUAGCUUAUUUUAGGAAUGUACUGGUUAGGAGCUAGAGCAGUGAUGUAGUUGUUAAGGACAUUUGGUUCCCAGAAACCCAGGUCACAUAGCUAACCACCUGUAAGUCCAGUUCCAGGAAAUCCAAUGCCUCUGUCCUGGAAGACGCCUGCCUUGUGUACACACAAACACACCGUU
rnacentral:lncRNA from 1 species